rnacentral:rRNA from 1 species
CGGACGGGUGAGUAAUGUAUGGGGAUCUGCCUGAUGGCGGGGGAUAACUACUGGAAACGGUAGCUAAUACCGCGUAAUGUCUGCGGACCAAAGCGGGGGACCUCCGGGCCUCGCGCCAUCAGAUGAACCCAUAUGGGAUUAGCUAGUAGGUAAGGUAACGGCUUACCUAGGCGACGAUCCCUAGCUGGUCUGAGAGGAUGAUCAGCCACACUGGGACUGAGACACGGCCCAG